rnacentral:rRNA from 1 species
AUGGAAAAGCUGUCGGAGGAUGGGCGCGGUGUCUACGAGCUUCUGCGGGCGGAUCUCGCGGUCGACCUCGACAAGCGCUUCCGCGACCAAGGUGCGGAUCUCCUCAAGGCCAUGGAGAAGCUGAUCUCGACGAACACCUUGACCCUCGACGGCUUGCUCUCGUCGCGCGUGGAUGGGGUCCGAGACGAGUUGUUGAUGGAGAUGGAGCAGCUCCGCGGCGACCAAUUGAAGGGGAGUACUCCUCCGCAGGAAGAUCCGUCUCCGUCGCGUGUGGCUGGGAAUGGUCGCGGUGGUGGCCCGACUGAUUCCCUCGGCUUCGACAACGAUUACCGGGGGAAGGCGCAUAAUACUUAUGUCCCUCCUCCGGUCAGAGGUGCGCGCGAGUCCAAUUUUUCGUUCUGUCCUUCUCUGGGUCGUGAGUCGAGUUCCUUUGAUGCUGCUGAUUCGUUUGCAUUUGGUGCUCGCCUGGAAUUGCCGCGAUUUGAUGGUGCCAAUCCGCGUCUGUGGCAAACGCGGUGUGAAGAUCAGUUCAGGCUGUGGUGUACACCGGCUCACCUAUGGAUUUCUCUAGCAACAGCUCAAUUUGAGGGUGCUGCUGCUCGUUGGUUGGAAUCGAUGCAACGUCGAUAG